AGAGUCGGAUAUUCUCCGGCCUGAUGCCGAGCGUAGCCCUGUCGCCAGGCUUGAGGGCCACGCCAUCGGCCAGCGACACGGUCAUGGGCGCAAGACC
rnacentral:sRNA from 1 species